GUUUAAGUAGUUUAAUUAAAAUACUGAUUUGUGGUAUCAGUGAUAUACAUAUAUUGCAUCUUAAACU
rnacentral:tRNA from 1 species